UGCCCCGACACCGCCCAUCGUCCACUCCGGGUCCCUUUUGGUUCCAAGUCCAGGAUGGCAAGCCUCAGGGAUCAGCUGAUUGUGAACCUUCUUAUGGAAGAACAGACCCCCCAGAACAAGAUUACAGUGGUUGGGGUUGGUGCUGUCGGCAUAGCCUGUGCUAUCAUUAUCUUAAUGAAGGACUUGGCAGAUGAACUUGCGCUUGAUGUCAUGGAGGACAAACUGAAGGGUGAGAUGAUGGAUCUCCAGCAUGGCAACCUCUUCCUUAAAACACCAAAAAUUGUCUCUGGCAAAGACUACAGUGCGACUGCCAAUUCCAAGCUGGGGCGCGGCAGCAGGAGGGGCAGAGUCGUCUCAAUUUGGUCCAGCCUAAUGUGAACAUCUUCAAGUUCAUCAUCCCUAAUGUUGUGAAGUACAGUCCCAACUGCAAGUUGCUUGUCGUUUCAAAUCCAGUGGAUAUCUUGACCUAUGUGCCUUGGAAGAUAAGUGGCUUUCCCAAAACCGAGUUAUUGGAAGUGGUUGCAAUCUGGAUUCAGCCCGGUUCCGUUACCUGAUGGGAGAAAGGCUGGGUGUUCACCCACUGAGCUGUCACGGAUGGGUCCUCAGGGAGCACGAAGACUCGAGUGUGCUCGUGUGGAGCGGCAUGAACAUCGCUGGCGUCACCCCGAAGACUCUGAAUCCAGAACUGGGCACCGAUGCAGAUAAGGAACAGUGGAAGGAUGUUCACAAACAGGUGGUUGACAGUGACUAUGAGGUGGUCAAACUGAAAGGUUAUACUUCCUGUGCCAUUGGACUCUCUGUGGCAGAUCUGGUGGAGCGCAUAAUGAAGAAUCUUAGGCCGGUGCACCCAAUUUCCACCAUGAUUAAUGGUCUCUAUGAAAUAAAGGAUGAGGUCUUCCUCAGUGUGCCCUGUGUCCUGCGACAGAACGGGAUCUCAGACGUGGUGAAGUUGACUGACUCCAGAAGAGGGGGCCCACCUGAAGAAGAAUCCAGAAGGAGCUGCAGUUUUAGUCUCCUGA